GUUCAAAUGUGGAGUUUUGCGCAUCGUGUGUGUGUGUGUGAGAGAGAGAGAGACAGGGUCACACAGUGGAGUCAGCUGUCUUAACCAUUGGUGGCUUGUGUACUGCACACAUCGGAGCUUCAUCACUGUGUCUGUCACGUGACUCUGUUCCCCUUUCGGGCUUGAACUGAUGGUAACAAACCAAAGGAAGGGUACAGCAGCUUUGCUGUGCCAGCCGUGGUAAAUACAGGAACAUCCUUCAUGAAGAUGUGUGAGAGAAGCUUGCAAGGCAAGAUGUGGGAAAAAAAUUAAAGCUCAGUGUCAGUGAAGAUGGUGUGAUCAGGAAAUCUGGUGUUUGUAGGAAAACUGAAGGAACAUCUCCCAGUAUUCUACUACAAUGUUGCCCUGAUGUCUGAGAGACUGUGGAGAGAUGGUGUGCAGCUCCAUGACAUUUGAAGUUUACUGCCAAUGGAGAGCUUCUUGGACAUUGACAGGCAGCACUUCCCAG
ensembl:lncRNA